GUGGCGGAACUGGCAGACGCGCAUGGUUGAGGGCCAUGUGGGGGCAACCCCGUGGAGGUUCGAGUCCUCUCCCGAGCACCA
rnacentral:tRNA from 1 species